rnacentral:rRNA from 1 species
UACGAGGGGGGCGAGCGUUGUUCGGAAUUAUUGGGCGUAAAGGGUGCGUAGGCGGUUUGGUAAGUCUUGUGUGAAAUCUCCAGGCUCAACUUGGAGUCUGCACGAGAAACUGCCGGGCUUGAGUGUGGGAGAGGUGAGUGGAAUUCCGGGUGUAGCGGUGAAAUGCGUAGAGAUCGGGAGGAACAUCAGUGGCGAAGGCGGCCAUCUGGGACAACACUGACGCUGAAGCACGAAAGCGUGGGGAGCAAACAGG